rnacentral:rRNA from 1 species
GUCCACGCCGUAAACGGUGGGUACUAGUUGUGGGUCCCUUCCACGGGAUCCGUGACGCAGCUAACGCAUUAAGUACCCCGCCUGGGGAGUACGGCCGCAAGGCUAAAACUCAAAGGAAUUGACGGGGCCCGCACAAGCGGCGGAGCAUGUGGAUUAAUUCGAUGCAACGCGAAGAACCUUACCUGGGUUUGACAUAUACAGGAUCGCCGCAGAGAUGCGGUUUCCCUUGUGGUCGGUAUACAGGUGGUGCAUGGCUGUCGU